rnacentral:rRNA from 1 species
GAUGAACGCUAGCGGGAGGCCCAACACAUGCAAGCCGAGCGGUAUUGUUUCUUCGGACAUGAGAGAGCGGCGUACGGGUGCGUAACACGUGUGCAACCUGCCUUUAUCUGGGGGAUAGCCUUUCGAAAGGAAGAUUAAUACUCCAUAAUAUAUUGAACGGCAUCGUUUAAUAUUGAAAGCUCCGGCGGAUAGAGAUGGGCACGCGCAAGAUUAGCUAGUUGGUGAGGUAACGGCUCACCAAGGCGAUGAUCUUUAGGGGGCCUGAGAGGGUGAUCCCCCACACUGGUACUGGGACACGGACCAGACUCCAACGGGGGGCAGCAGUGAGGAAUAUUGGUCAAUGGGUGAAAGCCUGAACCAGCCACCCCGGGGGAAGGACCACUGCCCAUGGGGUUUUAAACUUCUUUUGAAAAGGAAUAAACCUACCCACGAGAGGGUAGCUAAAGUUACUAAACAAAUAAGCACCGGUUAACUCCGU